rnacentral:rRNA from 1 species
CGUAGGGUGCAAGCGUUAAUCGGUAAUUACGUGGGACGUAAAGCGUGCGCAGGCGGUUAUGUAAGACAGUUGUGAAAUCCCCGGGCUCAACCUGGGAAUUGCAUCUGUGACUGCAUAGCUAGAGUACGGUAGAGGGGGAUGGAAUUCCGCGUGUAGCAGUGAAAUGCGUAGAUAUGCGGAGGACACCGAUGGCGAAGGCAAUCCCCUGGACCUGUACUGACGCUCAAUGCACGAAAGCGUGGGAGCAAACAGGAUU